UUUCCGCCAGAGAACUACGAGUGAAAAACUUAAAACUCAAAGGACUUGACGGUGUCCCAUAUCGGCCUAGAGGAGCCUGUCCUAUAAUCGAUACCCCCCGUUCCACCCAACCCCAACUAGCAAAACAUCAGCCUAUAUACCGCCGUCGACAGUUUACCCUAUGAAGGUCCAAUAGUAGACACAAUAGCCCUAACACUAAUACGUCAGGUCAAGGUGUAGCAAAUGCUGGGGAAGAGAUUGGCUACAUUUUUUAUGAUAAAAAACACGAAUUGCACCAUGAAAAAGUGCAUGAAGGUGAAUUUAGUAGUAAAACAGAUAAGAGUGCCUGUUUUAACAACGCUCUGGGACGCGUACACACCGCCC
rnacentral:rRNA from 1 species